CACGGCCCCCCACGCUGAGGUCCGCGCGCCGCCAUGUUGCACCAGCACCUGUGCUCUGAAGGGACGCGUGUGAGGCCUCUGCACGUGGGAGCCUGUGAGCCAGUGACACCAGACGAAGCACGAAGGAAAAGAACAAGGAAAGAGAUCUCCACGUUAACAGAUUCUUAACUGGCUGGUGUGAAGAGUCAUUCCAAGUGUCACAGUAUUUCCCCCACUCAAACCAGAAGAAGUAGAAAGAAACGGUGGUCUAUUAAUAAAGAAAAGACCUGUAAUUUAAGUACAAGAUAGAGGUGGAAGGAAAUGAGCGUUUCUCUUUUGAAUUAGAUACAGGCCACUGUUCCAGACAAAAAUCAGAAAAUACUUCCUUAUCUUCACCAGCUGAAGAGGCUGAUGCUUCCAGAAAGGACAUAGUCCCCCCACAUGAAACAACCCCCACCUCACCUCCUUUAGUGCGUUCCCUUAACUAAUGAAGCAAAAGGAGAUGAAGGGCCACUUGCUUUUAUUCCUGAGUUGAUGCAUCAGUGACCAGGUUUAUUGCUCCCAGAAUCCAUGUUAAAACACACAAGCCACAGAGAUUUUCUCAGCUGUGCUAGGAACUCAUUCUGGGCUUAUCUCAACUCUGGUCAAAUAGUUCAAAUAUGAAUAGCAAUAAAGAUAUUAACA
rnacentral:lncRNA from 1 species